GCCGCGGUGCUGGAAUUGGUAGACAGGCAGGACUUAAAAUCCUGUGUCCCUUAAGGACGUGUGGGUUCGACUCCCACCCGCGGCACCA
rnacentral:tRNA from 1 species